AAAAUACAAAGCCGAAAAGGGGCGUAUGCCCCUUCCUAUAUUAAUGAUAUAGCUGAUGAGGCUAAGGAGGAU
rnacentral:hammerhead_ribozyme from 1 species